AAAAUUAUAACAGUAUAUUUCUUGUAUUUGUCAGUCAUGGAAGUUAAUAUUAACAAACGAAGAAGAAAUUAUUCAGAACCACCCGACUUGUGCAGAUAAAUCAGCAGUGAAAUACAGAUAUAUGGUUGAACUAGAGUUCUGCAAUGUAAUUUUUUGUCAAACAAAACUGAAAUUUUAGAUCGAAAGCCAUGGCGUUGUCAGUUUAUUUUCGAUCAAUGAGUUUGAAUGUUCCUCUGGUAUCUUUCGCCCCUCUUUUUGAAGUGCAUACACACACAUUAGUGAAGUUAGGAUGAUGUAGUAUAUCGUAAACAUUAGGUUGUGGAUGCCGAUACCAACCUAUCGAAAUAUUGUGUGUAUUUUGCCAAACUUUAAAUG